CCCAUCCGGACAGGAGGAGGACAGACGGGUGAGCAGGUGCAUCUCAAACCUCUGCUGUGCUGCAUCUGCUAACACGGCCUUGGCUGCAGAGGCAGCUGUGGAGCCCGGCGCCAGCCACGGUGGACGUUUUCGCUCCCGAGGGGGGUACCGGCAAGGUGUGUGGUGAAGCAGCAACACCCCAGGGGUGACUCAGCCCACCUACCAGGACCCACCCUGCUGAGCGCGUGUGCUGGGGCUGGACCCACCAGCAGGCUCACUCCCCGCGCCUCCGUCCACAGUGAACAUGGACGUUUGGCUCUAGGGUAGAGUAAUUUGGGAUACCUUUUUAUUUCUAAAGUACUUGGGUGAUGAAGCACGAGGCAGUAGCCUUCAGUCUGCAAACCGGUAUCUCAACACCCCCUCUGAGCCUCGAAGGUGCCGGAGCCCAGGGUGGGCACGGGGACCUUCCGCGACGGUGCGCAACGGCAGUGACCUGGGGCCAGGUGACUGGCCAGGCGGCCAUGACCUGGCGGCCGUGACCUGGGCCAGGAGCAGUGGGGGGCCGGUCGGCACCCUCACGCCCGUACACCACACAAAAGCUUUCAGCAUCUACUGAAGUCUGUAAAUAGUCCCACCGUGGUCGGCACCAAGCCACCAACACGGCUUCAGCUGAGUCCCACAUUUCUGAACUUCUCCUGGUUGGCUGGUCUGAGCUGGUCGGGGACCGGGCACUCCAGGUCUUCCUCACUCUCACUGAAUUUUUAGAGCCAUCACUCGGCACGUUUGCAGAACCUCUGCCAAUAGCCAUCACCCGGGGCAAGAACAGAGAAAAAAGCAAGGAUGACAGAUUCUCUCCUGCUGCAGGAAUCCCUGAGGGCAGCUAAGGACGGCAACCGGAGCCCCAGCAAGGGGAAGGGCCUCGAGGCCUCUGAAGAGGGGGCAGAAAUGAAUAUGAUUGUCUGUGUUUUGCCGAUGAGAAAACUGUAAGAAUCUAUAAGAAAUGUAAAUUUAUAUCAUUCCCCAAGGCAGGUAAAUGGUCCCAAUAACCAAAUGCAAGGGACCGGACCUCAAAGCCACUUCUCCUUUGCACUCCUUUGCCCCUGGAGGACCUUCCCCUCAUUGCAAACUGGACAUUUUAAGCAUAAUCGGGCUGCUCCGGCAUGAUGCCACUAAGAAAAGGACUGAUUUAUUCUGACCGUGGUUAGUUUUGAAAAGGUACAGAUUAACAAGCAAACAAAAAAUAGCAUCACCAGAUGGUCGCGGGGAUUCUCACGGCCCAUUGAAGACAGUCACCAGAGCAGGCAGCUAGUUCUGUGCCAAGAACCCUUAGAAGGACCAGCUUGGGGUUGACGCUUGGCUUUUAUCGCCCCCCAGGGGCCCUGGGACGGUUUCUCAGCAUUUCUAGACCUGGACUUCCGGAUCCAUAAAGUGUGAACAUCACAGAGCUGUUGGGAGGAUGACAGGACAGGAGGGCGUCGAGCCUAUAGCACAGGGGCUGGGGAAUGAGCCGGGGUUUGUAUUUUGGGCGAUUGUUCUGGGGACGCUUCCCUGCUUGAGGAACGGUCAGUGUUCCGGGGCUCGUGGGUACUUGGGAUUUCAUAAAACGCUCUCUAUGCCUCUGAUUAUUGUGUGGAGGAUAUUCACUCAUCUAAUCUGUCCUAGAGCCUCGGCAAAGACUGACCCUAGCAGUAAACAAUGAGUUGAGUUGAGUUAAGAGCUAAAGCGCAGUCUUGCUGUUUUGUAAAUUCUCAGUUGCUUUGGAUGCAAAGGUCAAGGUCAGUCUUGAGAUCUCAGCCAAGGUGACCCAGCAGGAUGCUCCUGGAGACGUGGAGGGGUGUGUCCUACGGGGAGAAAUCUAUCAAACUCUUGGUCUAAUUCCUCCCAAAAUAUGUUCUCAGACCCGUUGAAUGGCCUGUACCCUCCUUCCAUCCUGACCAGUGUGUUGAGAACGAAGACACCCAGGACGAUAGUUCAGGAAUGUUCCCUGUCGGCAUGUUCUGGGCACUUCCAUGAGGCAAAGAGUGUUCCUUCAUGAGCACCAGCAGGUCCAAGGAUCCACGUUCUUCAGAUCAUGGCACAGAGCUGGCUUGUCACAAAUGUUCAGGGUCUGGAAUCAUCUCUCCAGGCCAGGAUGGGGGCCCCAGUCCUGUGCACACCCCACCUCAGUCCCCUGGAUGUCAGGGCCCCCAAUUACCCUUGAUGGGAACAGCUCGGGCAGCUUUUCCUUCAAGAGGGCCCUUCUCCUGCCAAGUCUGUCCUUGCAUCCUGGGACCUUCAAGCCCAAAUCUGGAAUAACUCUUUGCAGACACAGUGAAAGCGAAUAUGUCUAGAGUGAUUUAUGCGUCUGUUUGAACUUACAUUCCUAUGUUUCGCUGCUUGCUGUGGGCAAGAAUUUUCUGAUGGCUUAUGAUGAACAGAGUUUAUAUUAGAAGCUGCUGUUUACUUUCUGAGACAUGAAGUGGUAAUUUCAUUAAGGGCUUUCAUUAGAUCUUGGUAACUUGCAAGUUUUCUCCAGUUUCAUUUGCAUACAGAACGUUAUAAAUAUAAAGGGAAUUCUGGAUUUGUCAUUUAAAGAAAGAUCCAAAAUUGCAGAAUUGAGAUGGAUAACAUUGUUUUUAUAUAUGUACAGAUUGUCGCAAAGGUGUUCGUUAAAGUUUCCAUGGGAAGAGUCCGUGCUCCUUAGUCGUGAUAUAAGUGGUUUCAAUGAUCUCACAAGCUUAUCCAUUAUCUUCAAACAGGAAAUUUGUUUCUAAGCUCACCCUCAAGUCAUUGCAAAAUAUGAUGGGAGGAGAUCAAAAGGAACCGAGGCACAGAAACAUGAGACUGGUUUCAAAGGCCCUGCCUGUUUCCAGGACAAGGUUCCUUUCACAAUGAAGCUUGCUGGAUAAUAAAGUAUAUGUAUGGCUUCUCUGUCGGGAAUGAAUUUGGGGGAGGGUACUUCUCAGUAGUAAAAUGACUACAGUGGCAUCAUAAUUUUAACAAAAUUAAGGAAAUAAUUAAAAUAAACACAUUUUAUGCUAUGAGCUUUUCUGGAAAUUUCCUUUUUGUUUGUCACAUUGUGACUCAGUAACUAAAUGCUGGAAGGGUCUCGGGGCACUGUGAGGAAAAAGUGGGAAUUGGAGACUAUUUGCUGUUAGGUAUGGAGUACAAGGAUACAAUAGUGAUUCAGCCAAAAAAAACUCACUAGCAAAUUUAUAUCUCCAGUGAAGCUGAGUUCAUUUCACAUAACAGA